AGCAGCCGCGGUAAUUCCAGCUCCAAUAGCGUAUAUUAAAGUUGCUGCAGUUAAAAAGCUCGUAGUUGAAUUUCGGGACUAAUAUGUCGGUCGUGCCUCGGUACGUACUGGCUUAUUGGUUUCUCCUUUCUGAAGAACCAUGAUGUCAUUUAUUUGGUGUCGUGGGGAAUCAGGACUGUUACUUUGAAAAAAUUUAGAGUGUUUAAAGCAGGCUCACGCUUGAAUACAUUAGCAUGGAAUAAUGAAAUAGGACGUUUGAUUCUAUUUUGUUGGUUUCUAGGAUCGACGUAAUGAUUAAUAGGGAUGGUUGGGGGCAUUAGUAUUCAAUUGUCAGAGGUGAAGUUCUUGGAUUUAUUGAAGACUAACUACUGCGAAGGCAUUUGCCAAGGAUGUUUUCAUUAAUCAAGAACGAAAGUUAGGGGAUCGAAGACGAUCAGAUACCGUCGUAGUCUUAACCAUAAACUAUGCCGACUAGGGAUCGGAUGAUGUUAAUUUUUUAAUGACUCAUUCGGCGCCUUAC
rnacentral:misc_RNA from 1 species